rnacentral:rRNA from 14 species
GCGGCCGUAGCGCGGUGGUCCCACCUGACCCCAUGCCGAACUCAGAAGUGAAACGCCGUAGCGCCGAUGGUAGUGUGGGGUCUCCCCAUGCGAGAGUAGGGAACUGCCAGGC